GCCUGAUGCAGCAACGCCGCGUGCGGGAUGACGGCCUUCGGGUUGUAAACCGCUUUUAGUAGGGAAGAAGGGCUUCGGCUUGACGGUACCUGCAGAAAAAGGACCGGCUAACUACGUGCCAGCAGCCGCGGUAAUACGUAGGGUCCGAGCGUUGUCCGGAAUUAUUGGGCGUAAAGAGCUCGUAGGCGGUUUGUCGCGUCUGCUGUGAAAUCUGGAGGCUCAACCUCCAGCCUGCAGUGGGUACGGGCAGACUAGAGUGCGGUAGGGGAGAAUGGAAUUCCUGGUGUAGCGGUGGAAUGCGCAGAUAUCAGGAGGAACACCGAUGGCGAAGGCAGUUCUCUGGGCCGUAACUGACGCUGAGGAGCGAAAGCGUGGGGAGCGAACAGGAUUAGAUACCCUGGUAGUCCACGCCGUAAACGUUGGGCGCUAGAUGUGGGGACCUUUCCACGGUUUCCGUGUCGUAGCUAACGCAUUAAGCGCCCCGCCCGGGGAGUACGGCCGCAAGGCUAAAACUCAAAGGAAUUGACGGGGGCCCGCACAAGCGGCGGAGCAAGCGGAUUAAUUCGAUGCAACGCGAAGAACCUUACCAAGGCUUGACAUAACCUAGAACGCCCUAUAAAUAGGGAACUCUUUGG
rnacentral:rRNA from 1 species